CUGAUGGUGAAAGCAGAAAGUCACUCGAACAGAGAUUGACAUUCAUUUAUAGGAUCUUGUUGUACAGCUGUGGAUGGAUGAACUGACAGGAUGUGAGUUUUCCUACCUUGCUUCUUCAGUCUUGUCUUCAUCUUCAGCCUGUUCAAGCUCGUCCUCUUCAUCAUCGUCGUCUGCCUCAGUCUUUGCUGCCUCCUCCUGGACAGUGAGCACCGAUGCUGUGGCAGCUUCAAACACACAAGGUGAAAAACUCUUGAUGGGUCCAAAUGACUUGCAAGGUGGUCCAGAGAGCUGACUUCGGUCCCAGUGGAUGAGGCUGGGGAGACAGGCACAGACCAAGUUGAGGUGGUCAGUGUCUUUGCCCUUUGCCUGUUAGGGCUCGGAUUGUAGAUAGAGCAGCUUGUCCACCCCACCUCCACUGGCUCAGACAGAAUUAGAUCGACCACGGGGACUGACGGACGAUGGAAGGGAAAGAGGGAAGAGAGACUGAGAGUGAGAGCUUCAAGGCUGUUCAAUGUGGGCCCUCCUCCUCCUCCACAUCUCCACCUCAUCCAGAUGUUCAGAGCACCACAACCAGUCAGCUGCCAUCUUCCCAUCACCACCAACCUCUAGACACUUUGGGGUCCUGUAUUCGUCUCCUAUCCUAAUCCUCAAAACUAUGACCUUCUUGCAUGUUAAAAACAAAGGAUGAAGGGAAGAAGUACUUGGAACUCGAUGAAACCACAACAGUCCACAGUGAGGAGAAUGUUUGGAUUCUGCACCAGUCUGCUGCUUGGAGCUAUAACAUGGUGACGAUUGAAGGUGUGAUGCAUCACCACCAGAACUGCUGGUUUACCAGCUGUAAGCACAGACAGAACAUGAAGAAAUGAGUCAGGAACCAGAUGAAACACACAGGUUUGAUGACUCCACCUGCAGCUCAUGAUGCAGGGCUUUAAAUCCAUGUGUGGCUCUUUCCUCUAUGCUGUAUGUGUCUCUGUUCAGCUCCUGGUGAGUUUUCUGAAAUAUUUAUUUCCUGUGUUUUUACUUCUCACAUUACAUUUCUAAAUCAUUGCCUUUAUAGAACAGCAUCUUAUCUAAAUGAGACAGAAGUAAACACCAAAUGCAGGAUCAGUCACUUACAGAUACGUUUUAAUUACUGUGGUAUUUACUUUCUCUUAAUCAUUUGGAGGCAUGAAUCAGUUCACUAUAAUGGCAGAGGCACUGGAGAAGCUCAUCUAAAUAACUUCAUUUCAAACUCAUUUUCACCAGGUUGUGGGCUCUGUGCCUGGAGGUCACUAAUCAGUGUGAAAUUUGCCAAACACUGACCAAAGGAACUCCUUACCAGGAAUGUGGUCCAGAGCCUCGCUGAUGUCUGUUCCAACUCGUGAAGCAACAGGACAGAAAACCAGAAGGUGGUGGGCUCUGUGCCUGGAGGUGACUAAUCAGUGAGAAAUUUGCCAUUCAGUGACCAAAGGAACUCCUUACCAGGAAUGUGGUCCAGAGCCUCGCUGAUGUCUGUUCCAACUCGUGUAGCAACAGGACAGAAAACCAGAAGGCUGUUGAACGUGGACCCUCCUCCUCCUCCUCCACAUCUCCACCUCAUCCAGACGUUCAGAGCACCACAACCAGACACCUGCCAUCAUGUCUUCACCACCAACUUCUAGACUCUUUAGGGAGGUGGGCUCUGUUUCACACUAAUCAGUGUGAAAUUUGCCAAACACUGACCAAAGGAACUCCUUACCAGGAAUGUGGUCCAGAGCCUCGCUGAUGUCUGUUCCAACUCGAGAAGCAACAGGACAGAAAACCAGAAGUCCUCAAAAUGGCUGUCCACCAACGUUCACCAUCCAACCUGACAGAACUGGAGAGGAUCUGCAAGAAGAAUGGCAGAGGAUCCCCAAAUCCAAGUGUGAAAAACUUGUUGCGUCAUUCCCAAGAAGACUCAUGGCUGUACGAGCUGAAAAGGGUGCUUCUACUCAAUACUGAGCAAAGGGUCUGAAUACUUAUGACCAUGUGAUAUUUCAGUUUUUCUUUUUUAAUAAAUUUGCAAAAAAUUCUA